AACGAACGCUGGCGGCAUGCCUAACACAUGCAAGUCGAACGAGACCUUCGGGUCUAGUGGCGCACGGGUGCGUAACGCGUGGGAACCUGCCCUUAGGUUCGGAAUAACUCCCCGAAAGGGGUGCUAAUACCGGGUAAUGUCUGCGGACCAAAGAUUUAUCGCCUUUGUGUGGGCCCGCGUUGGAUUAGCUAGUUGGUAGGGUAAAAGCCUACCAAGGCGACGAUCCAUAGCUGGUCUGAGAGGAUGAGCAGCCACACUGGGACUGAGACACGGCCCAGACUCCUACGGGAGGCAGCAGUGGGGAAUAUUGGACAACGGGCGAAAGCCUGAUCCAGCAAUGCCGCGUGAGUGAUGAAGGCGUUAGGGUUGUAAAGCUCUUUUACCCGGGAUGAUAAUGACAGUACCGGGAGAAUAAGCUCCGGCUAACUCCGUG
rnacentral:rRNA from 1 species